rnacentral:rRNA from 1 species
UACGAAGGGGGCGAGCGUUGUUCGGAUUUACUGGGCGUAAAGGGCGCGUAGGCGGCGGACCUUGUCGAGUGUGAAAGCCCCGGGCUCAACCUGGGAGGUGCGCUCGAAACGGGUUUGCUGGAGUUCGGGAGAGGAGCGUGGAAUUCCCAGUGUAGAGGUGAAAUUCGUAGAUAUUGGGAAGAACACCGGUGGCGAAGGCGGCGCUCUGGACCGAGACUGACGCUGAGGCGCGAAAGCGUGGGGAGCAAACAGG